rnacentral:rRNA from 1 species
UACGUAGGUGGCAAGCGUUGUCCGGAUUUAUUGGGUUUAAAGGGUGCGUAGGCGCCUAUUAAGUCAGUGGUGAAAUAUCUCAGCUCAACUGAGAGUGUGCCAAUGAUACUGAUGGGCUUGAGUACAGAUGAGGUAGGCGGAAUUGACGGUGUAGCGGUGAAAUGCUUAGAUAUCGUCAAGAACACCUAUAGCGAAGGCAGCUUACUAGGCCGUAUAACGUACUGAGGCACGAAAGUGUGGGGAGUCAAACAGG